CAUGGCUCAGGACGAACGCUGGCGGCGUGCUUAACACAUGCAAGUCGAACGGAAAGGCCCUUCGGGGUACUCGAGUGGCGAACGGGUGAGUAACACGUGGGUGAUCUGCCCUGCACUUUGGGAUAAGCCUGGGAAACUGGGUCUAAUACCGAAUACACCCUGCUGGUCGCAUGGCCUGGUGGGGGAAAGCUUUUGCGGUGUGGGAUGGGCCCGCGGCCUAUCAGCUUGUUGGUGGGGUGAUGGCCUACCAAGGCGACGACGGGUAGCCGGCCUGAGAGGGUGACCGGCCACACUGGGACUGAGAUACGGCCCAGACUCCUACGGGAGGCAGCAGUGGGGAAUAUUGCACAAUGGGCGCAAGCCUGAUGCAGCGACGCCGCGUGGGGGAUGACGGCCUUCGGGUUGUAAACUCCUUUCGCCAGGGACGAAGCGCAAGUGACGGUACCUGGAGAAGAAGGACCGGCCAACUACGUGCCAGCAGCCGCGGUAAUACGUAGGGUCCGAGCGUUGUCCGGAAUUACUGGGCGUAAAGAGCUCGUAGGUGGUUUGUCGCGUUGUCCGUGAAAACUCACAGCUUAACUGUGGGCGUGCGGGCGAUACGGGCAGACUAGAGUACUGCAGGGGAGACUGGAAUUCCUGGUGUAGCGGUGGAAUGCGCAGAUAUCAGGAGGAACACCGGUGGCGAAGGCGGGUCUCUGGGCAGUAACUGACGCUGAGGAGCGAAAGCGUGGGGAGCGAACAGGAUUAGAUACCCUGGUAGUCCACGCCGUAAACGGUGGGUACUAGGUGUGGGUUUCCUUCCUUGGGAUCCGUGCCGUAGCUAACGCAUUAAGUACCCCGCCUGGGGAGUACGGCCGCAAGGCUAAAACUCAAAGGAAUUGACGGGGGCCCGCACAAGCGGCGGAGCAUGUGGAUUAAUUCGAUGCAACGCGAAGAACCUUACCUGGGUUUGACAUGCACAGGACGCCGGCAGAGAUGUCGGUUCCCUUGUGGCCUGUGUGCAGGUGGUGCAUGGCUGUCGUCAGCUCGUGUCGUGAGAUGUUGGGUUAAGUCCCGCAACGAGCGCAACCCUUGUCUCAUGUUGCCAGCACGUAAUGGUGGGGACUCGUGAGAGACUGCCGGGGUCAACUCGGAGGAAGGUGGGGAUGACGUCAAGUCAUCAUGCCCCUUAUGUCCAGGGCUUCACACAUGCUACAAUGGCCGGUACAAAGGGCUGCGAUGCCGUGAGGUGGAGCGAAUCCUUUCAAAGCCGGUCUCAGUUCGGAUCGGGGUCUGCAACUCGACCCCGUGAAGUCGGAGUCGCUAGUAAUCGCAGAUCAGCAACGCUGCGGUGAAUACGUUCCCGGGCCUUGUACACACCGCCCGUCACGUCAUGAAAGUCGGUAA
rnacentral:rRNA from 1 species